GACAGAGGGUGCAAACGUUGCUCGGAAUUACUGGGCGUAAAGCGCGUGUAGGCGGGAAGAUAAGUCGGGUGUGAAAUCCCUGGGCUCAACCUAGGAACUGCAUUCGAAACUGUCUUUCUGGGAGUGAUGGAGAGGAAAGCGGAAUUCCCGGUGUAGAGGUGAAAUUCGUAGAUAUCGGGAGGAACACCAGUGGCGAAGGCGGCUUUCUGGGCCAUCAACUGACGCUGAGACGCGAAAGCGUGGGGGAGCAA
rnacentral:rRNA from 1 species